GGAAAUGGCCUUAAGUUGUACCAGGGGUGGUUCAGAUUGGGUAUUAGAAGAAACUUCUUCACUGAAAAUCCUGCAGCCACAGAGGUCACAGCUGAGGCAGUCCUCGUGCCAGUACUGAUCGAUGGCCUUCAGGAAAUAGCGGUCCCCGAUGUUCUGCUGGCAACCCCCACAUGUCAGCAGGGAGGGGGGGAUCUGGAGGACUUCAUCCACUGGCUCCCUGAGGGAAUGAAAGAAUCAUUGGAGAAGAGGACAUGGACUCUGAAAGCAUCCAAAGGAGAAGAAGGAGAAGGAAAAAGAAAACACAAGAUUGGUCAAGUUAGAAGAGGGAUUACAUUCUCGUGGGGUUUUUUGAAAAAACUUGAUCCUUCUAACAUUAGAGGGAGCAGGACUUCACACUUCUUUUGCUUUAA